rnacentral:rRNA from 1 species
AGAGCGAACGCUGGCGGCAGGCCUAACACAUGCAAGUCGAGCGCCCGUAGCAAUACGGGAGCGGCAGACGGGAUAGUAACACGUGGGAACGCGCCCUUCGGUUCGGAAUAACUCAGGGAAACUUGAGCUAAUACCGGACAUUCACUUUCUCCUGCAUGGGUGAUGGUGGAAAGUUUUUCGGCCAGGGAGGGGCUCGCGGCCUAUCAGCUUGUUGGCGGGGUAACGGCCCACCGAAGGCGACGACGGGUAGCCGG